AUUGAACGCUGGCGGCAGGCCUAACACAUGCAAGUCGAGCGGAUGAAGGGAGCUUGCUCCUGGAUUCAGCGGCGGACGGGUGAGUAAUGCCUAGGAAUCUGCCUGGUAGUGGGGGAUAACGUCCGGAAACGGGCGCUAAUACCGCAUACGUCCUGAGGGAGAAAGUGGGGGAUCUUCGGACCUCACGCUAUCAGAUGAGCCUAGGUCGGAUUAGCUAGUUGGUGGGGUAAAGGCCUACCAAGGCGACGAUCCGUAACUGGUCUGAGAGGAUGAUCAGUCACACUGGAACUGAGACACGGGCCCGACUCCUAAGGGAGGCAGCAGUGGGGAAUAUUGGACAAUGGGCGAAAGCCUGAUCCAGCCAUGCCGCGUGUGUGAAGAAGGUCUUCGGAUUGUAAAGCACUUUAAGUUGGGAGGAAGGGCAGUAAGUUAAUACCUUGCUGUUUUGACGUUAACAACAGAAUAAGCACCGGCUAACUUCGUG
rnacentral:rRNA from 1 species